UAACAUUCAGUCCUUACAAUUUGAACCAUGUUGAUUAAAGAAAUGAUGAGGAAAGAAGAAAAUGAGGAGAAAAUUGAAGGAAAAAUCAGGUAUUUGUGAUGCUGCUGCUUGGAAAUGCCGACCAAGAAGGAGAGCUCCACUUUCUAACUCGAGAUAUUAAAGUAAUGUAUUUUCCGGACUAUAGAGCGCACCUCACUAUAAGCCCCGCCCACAAAGUAAAAAAAAACAAAAACUGGAAAGGUACAUAUAUAAGCCGCACCGGGCUUUAAGCCACAUGGUUCAAAGUGUGGGAAAAACGUAGUGGCUUAUAGUCCAAAAAAUACGGUAACUAAAUAAUGUUAUGUUA